rnacentral:rRNA from 1 species
GUCCACGCCGUAAACGAUGUGUGCUAGACGUUGGGGGACCUAGUCUCCCGGUGUCGCCGCUAACGCAUUAAGCACACCGCCUGGGGAGUACGGCCGCAAGGUUAAAACUCAAAGGAAUUGACGGGGGCCCGCACAAGCGGUGGAGCAUGUGGUUUAAUUCGAUGCAACGCGCAGAACCUUACCAGCCCUUGACAUGGGGGUCGUAGGAUCCAGAGAUGGAUCCGUCGGUUCGGCCGGACCCCACACAGGUGCUGCAUGGCUGUCGU